rnacentral:rRNA from 1 species
GCUAUACAUGCAGUCGAGCGAUGGAUUAAGAGCUUGCUCUUAUGAAGUUAGCGGCGGACGGGUGAGUAACACGUGGGUAACCUGCCCAUAAGACUGGGAUAACUCCGGGAAACCGGGGCUAAUACCGGAUAAUAUUUUGAACUGCAUGGUUCGAAAUUGAAAGGCGGCUUCGGCUGUCACUUAUGGAUGGACCCGCGUCGCAUUAGCUAGUUGGUGAGGUAACGGCUCACCAAGGCAACGAUGCGUAGCCGACCUGAGAGGGUGAUCGGCCACACUGGGACUGAGACACGGCCCAGACUCCUACGGGAGGCAGCAGUAGGGAAUCUUCCGCAAUGGACGAAAGUCUGACGGAGCAACGCCGCGUGAGUGAUGAAGGCUUUCGGGUCGUAAAACUCUGUUGUUAGGGAAGAACAAGUGCUAGUUGAAUAAGCUGGCACCUUGACGGUACCUAACCAGAAAGCCACGGCUAACUACGUGCCAGCAGCCGCGGUAAUACGUAGGUGGCAAGCGUUAUCCGGAAUUAUUGGGCGUAAAGCGCGCGCAGGUGGUUUCUUAAGUCUGAUGUGAAAGCCCACGGCUCAACCGCGGAGGGUCAUUGGAAACUGGGAGACUUGAGUG